rnacentral:tRNA from 2 species
GGGCCUAUAGCUCAGUUGGUUAGAGCGCAUCCCUGAUAAGGAUGAGGCCACAGGUUCAAAUCCUGUUAGGCCCAC